rnacentral:rRNA from 1 species
AUGCAUAUGCAUGACCCAAAGGAUGUGGGAGCUGACAAAGACAAAAACAACAAAACCAAUUCUGGAGGGCCAGUUCAGAACACUCAGAAAGCCCCUGCUAGGUCCAGAACACCUUUGGAGAUGGUGCAUUCACUCAAAGAAAAGGUGCAAAGUGCUAUACUUGGAUUGAAAGCUGAGCCUAGCAAGAAGAUAGAAUGGAAGAAGAAGAAACUUGAUGAGAACAUUGCUGUUCAGCUGCUGGAGCAAUUUGAUGAGGAAUCUGAUGGAGAUGGUACCACCUUGGAGGGGCCAAGACCACAAAAAUCCAAAUGGGGGCCUGUGGUGGCACCCAGGGUGAGCAACAGGAUAAAAAAAGAUGGGAGAAAUGCUAUACAGAAAGCUGAGGACCUUAGAAGACUCAAAGAUUUGGAGGUCCCUAAAGGUGGUUCUGAGAAAGAUUGCAGGAUACUGCAGCAUCUGGAAGAUCCUGUGCAAAGAGGUGGCAAGAGAGCGCGUGGAGGAGAUUACUGUAGCUAUCUGGGAGGCUGCAAGAAAACCACCGAUGCUGCUAGAUAG